rnacentral:rRNA from 1 species
UCGAGAAUCAUUCGCAAUGGGCGAAAGCCUGACGGUGCGACGCCGCGUGGAGGAUGAAGGCCCUAGGGUCGUAAACUCCUGUCAUCAGGGAGUAAUGGCUCAUAUAGUAACUGAUAUGGGUCUUGAUAGUACCUGAAGAGGAAGGGACGGCAAACUUCGUGCCAGCAGCCGCGGUAAUACGAAGGUCCCAAGCGUUGUUCGGAUUUACUGGGCGUAAAGAGUCUGUAGGCGGUGGGGUAAGUCAGAUGUGAAAUCCCGAGGCUCAACCCCGGAACUGCAUCCGAUACUGCCUUACUUGAGGGUCGGAGGGGAGUCUGGAAUUCUCGGUGUAGCGGUGAAAUGCGUAGAUAUCAAGAGGAACACCUGAGGUGAAGACGGGUUGCUGGGCUGACACUGACGCUGAGGCGCGAAAGCCAGGGGAGCAAACGGGAUUAGAUACCCCAGUAGUCCCUGAGCGGGCUGGCAAGGCGCAU